rnacentral:tRNA from 1 species
UCGCGCCAGGGUUGGGGCCGGUCGGGUCCGCGCUCGCUGUCGUCGGGCAGUUCCGGCAGUUCGUAGCCGCCGGCGCGGA